rnacentral:rRNA from 1 species
UCCGGUGGUCAUAGGGGAGGGGAAACACCCGUUCCCAUACCGAACACGGUAGUUAAGCCCUCUUCCGCCGAUGGUACUGCGGAGGCAACUUCGUGGGAGAGUAGGUCGCCGCCGGGA